CCUACGGGCGGCAGCAGUGAGGAAUAUUGGUCAAUGGGCGGGAGCCUGAACCAGCCAAGCCGCGUGAGGGAAGAAGGUACAGCGUAUCGUAAACCUCUUUUGUCAGGGAACAAAGGCGGGGACUAGUCCCCGGAUGAGGGUACCUGAAGAAAAAGCAUCGGCUAACUCCGUGCCAGCAGCCGCGGUAAUACGGAGGAUGCGAGCGUUAUCCGGUUUUAUGGGGUUUAAAGGGUGCGCAGGCGGCCUGUUAAGUCAGCGGUAAAAGCCCGGGGCUCAACCCCGGCGAGCCGUUGAAACUGGCGGGCUGGAGUUGGAGAGAAGUACGCGGAAUGCGCGGUGUAGCGGUGAAAUGCUUAGAUAUCGCGCAGAACCCCGAUUACGAGGGCAGCGUACCGGCUCCACACUGACGCUGAGGCACGAAAGCGUGGGUAUCGAACAGGAUUAGAUACCCGUGUAGUC
rnacentral:rRNA from 1 species